rnacentral:rRNA from 1 species
AGCAGUCGCCGCGGUAAUACGUAGGUGGCAAGCGUUGUCCGGAAUUAUUGGGCGUAAAGCGCGCGCAGGCGGAUCGGUCAGUCUGUCUUAAAAGUUCGGGGCUUAACCCCGUGAUGGGAUGGAAACUGCCAAUCUAGAGUAUCGGAGAGGAAAGUGGAAUUCCUAGUGUAGCGGUGAAAUGCGUAGAUAUUAGGAAGAACACCAGUGGCGAAGGCGACUUUCUGGACGAAAACUGACGCUGGGGCGCGAAAGCCAGGGGAGCGAACGGGAUUAGAGACCCCAGUAGUCCCUGUCUCUUAUACA